rnacentral:rRNA from 1 species
CGUAGGCGGUAAUGUAAGUCAGACGUGAAAUCCUUCGGCUCAACUGAAGAACUGCGUCUGAAACUGCAUGACUAGAGUGCAGAAGAGGGAAACGGAAUUCCAGGUGUAGAGGUGAAAUUCGUAGAUAUCUGGAGGAACACCGGUGGCGAAGGCGGUUUCCUGGUCUGACACUGACGCUGAGGCGCGAAAGCGUGGGGAGCAAACAGGAUUAGAUACCCUGGUAGUCCACGCCGUAAACGGUGGGUACUGGGUGUGGGAGGUGUAAUGCCUUCUGUGCCGAAGCUAACGCGUUAAGUACCCCGCCUGGGGAGUACGGCCGCAAGGUUGAA